rnacentral:rRNA from 1 species
UAACACGUGGAUAACCUACCUAUAAGACUGGGAUAACUUCGGGAAACCGGAGCUAAUACCGGAUGAUAUUUUGAACCGCAUGGCUCAAAAGUGAAAGACGGUCUUGCUGUCACUUAUAGAUGGAUCCGCGCUGCAUUAGCUAGUUGGUAAGGUAACGGCUUACCAAGGCAACGAUGCAUAGCCGACCUGAGAGGGUGAUCGGCCACACUGGAACUGAGACACGGUCCAG